rnacentral:rRNA from 1 species
CCUACGGGGGGCGGCAGUGAGGAAUAUUGGUCAAUGGCCGAGAGGCUGAACCAGCCAAGUCGCGUGAGGGAUGACGGCCCUAUGGGUUGUAAACCUCUUUUGCCGGGGAGCAAAGAGCGGGACGCGUCCCGCCCUGCGAGUACCCGGAGAAAAAGCAUCGGCUAACUCCGUGCCAGCAGCCGCGGUAAUACGGAGGAUGCGAGCGUUAUCCGGAUUUAUUGGGUUAAAAGGGUGCGCAGGGGGACGGGCAAGUCAGCGGUAAAAUUGAGGGGCUCAACCCCUUCCCGCCGUUGAAACUGCGGUUCUUGAGUGGGCGAGAGGUACGCGGAAUGCGUGGUGUAGCGGUGAAAUGCAUAGAUAUCACGCAGAACUCCGAUUGCGAAGGCAGCGUACCGGCGCCCAACUGACGCUGAGGCACGAAAGCGUGGGUAUCGAACAGGAUUAGAUACCCCUGUAGUC